CUUUCCUUGUAGGUAAUCUCCGAGUAUUAAAAGGAUCAACAACGAAGCACUGAGCUUUUUUGAUUGCAGGUGCCAUCCAGCUAACCUUUGGGAGCAGAUGAGCAUUGGAGGUAUCCCAGAAGAUGACAGCACAUUGUCCAAGUCUGGUCAGAGCCAGUGACACGAGGACCUGCCUCUGUGACGUUGACUCCGAGUACUCUCCCGAUGCCAGGAACCUCUGAGCCAGCCCAGGUGCCCCUGCUCUGCAUCGAAGAUGGAUUCACAUCCCCGGCUGUCGGCAAGAUAAGUGCAGGGCAGAGACCCAGAGAGGGGCUGGGAGUGGGUGCAAGUAUGUGUCUCACCUGAAGGGAUUUUUGAAAUUAGUGCAGUGCAAUAGGUGUCCUGUAACAGGUUAU